rnacentral:rRNA from 1 species
ACUCCUACGGGAGGCAGCAGUGGGGAAUCUUGGACAAUGGGCGAAAGCCUGAUCCAGCGACGCCGCGUGAAGGAAGAAGUCCCUCGGGAUGUAAACUUCUGAACUAAUCGAAUAAAAGGGUAGUGGACACACUACAGAAGAAGGUAGGUUA